UGGGGAAUUUUCCGCAAUGGGCGAAAGCCUGACGGAGCAAUACCGCGUGAGGGACGAAGGCUUUUGGGUCGUAAACCUCUUUUCUCAGGGAAGAUAAUGACGGUACCUGAGGAAUAAGCAUCGGCUAACUCUGUGCCAGCAGCCGCGGUAAUACAGAGGAUGCAAGCGUUAUCCGGAAUGAUUGGGCGUAAAGCGUCCGCAGGUGGUUUGAUAAGUCUGUUGUUAAAGCGUUAGGCUCAACCUAAUAAGGGCAAUGGAAACUAUUAGACUAGAGUACGUUCGGGGCAGAGGGAAUUCCCAGUGUAGCGGUGAAAUGCGUAGAGAUUGGGAAGAACACCGGUGGCGAAAGCGCUCUGCUAGGCCUGUACUGACACUGAGGGACGAAAGCUAGGGGAGCGAAUGGGAUUAGAUACCCCAGUAGUC
rnacentral:rRNA from 1 species